ACAAAUCUUGGUGUAUAUCUGGGUGGUGGACUCAAUUUCAUGUGCUGUAUCCAAGGCCAUGCCAUCCUUUCCCUCUUCACCGGAGUGGAUCAGAAGUAUUUGAGCUCCUGCAUGAAUCAGACUCCAACCCCUUGGCUCCAAGAUGCAUCCAUGAUGAUGAGGUAAGUUUCCAGUCUUAGGCACUGACAGAGACAAGCUGGGAAGAAUUUGUCUCUAUGUGGCUGGAGAAUGACUGUGUCCUCCCAUAAGGGAGCAAAACUGGAAACCAGAAAAAGGAUCGCCUCUUGGCAGAGCCUCUGAAGUUCAACAUUACAGUAGCAAAAGGUCAGGAUGCAGUGCAAAUGUGGCUAAUCCUGCAGCAGCAGGGGCAGGGGAAAGGCUUUAUAUGGUACAACCCUGUCCUCCUUUUCUCAGGAAGAAUGUCUUUCAGAACAGCCCAGUGGAAGAAGCCAGAAGUGGGGGAUUCUUCACAUUUUUCUUGAAACCCCUUAAGGGAAUCCUAUCAAAGUAGAAAGCUGGUUUCAGCCUCCUGCUGUUACAAAUACCAUCUAAGCAACCUCAGGCUGACCUUAGCUGGUCAGUGACACUGGUCUUUCUCAGAAACCCACAGUCCUAAAAAAGAAGGAGCUGCUUUUUCUCUUUCCUCCCUUCCAUCACCCUACAGAAUGCCAGGCCAGAAAUGACAAACAAUCCCUCAACCUUCCAAGAAAACAAGGCAGAGCCACCUAGCGCGGAACAAUAGAGAAUGAUGAAGACACAGCCACAAUAGCUGGCUGUGGUUAACCUCAGAGGCUGCAGUCAAACCCAAGGAAAUUACAGAAAACCCUUAAACAAAUACAAUGGCCACGACUGUUUUCUCCCCAGGGGACCCAUAAAUAGAAGCUAGUGCUCCCGGGGAGGGAGGAGGGGAGAGGCGGGUGGCCACUGUUUGUUCUGCUGUGGUUCGGUGUAGGCUAAACUGGAGAUUAGGCUAUGAAAUCGAAGGCAGAGAGAAAGCAGGCAGUAAUGGCUUUUGGCCCUGAUUUUCACGUGGAGCUGCACAAAUCCAGGGCAGAAAAAAAUGUUGCAUUCCUGCACGGUUCUGCAAGGCUUGCGUGGGCUUGCUCCGUAAUUUGAAUGUGGAUUGAACUCACCUUGAGCCAAAGGUCAGCAACUCUGAAGGUUUUCCUAUCCCUAUUCCCUUCCGUGUUGCAUGGCCAAGGUUUGAAGUGGGCCCUCUGUGUGUGAGCAUGUGGUUCAGGCCAGAGAUUGUCUCUUUUUUCUCUCUCUUCUUGUUCUUUAUAUCAUUCCAAGACCUGCAUGAGCAUCUGGAUGUCUUAGAAGUCGGACCAGAUGACCUUUAAGAGUCCCUUCCAACUCGAAUUUGUCUACGAUUCUAUGAUCUCUACAGUGCCAAUAGCAUGGAGCGCAACAAAAUCAGAGCACAGCGAUGUGGUGUUUAAUCACACUGGUCUCAUAAAAGCAACCUGGCUGGAGCAGUUUGGAGCUGAAGGCAUUUCUGAACCUCGAGUGCAGCCAACCACGGAGGUAUCGUGCACAGGGAAACCAUCCUUUUAAAGAUACUGCAUGCACAAGAAGAAGAGAGGGGGCCAAAAGUGGAUCCUUGGAGUGAAAAGGAUGGUCAUUGCAGGAGAGAAAGACAGCCUACACACUGCCAUCACACCAUUUUAGGCUGCAGCUGUGUGUUGGCAGACCUCCAAACCCCAUUACCCCCAACCCACUCUCCUCCUGUAUAAGCAAUUACAGAGCCAGCAGCAACCCUCACUUCUGCUCCUGAGACAAAGGCAAAUUCCUCCAUAUGAAGUGGUGUGCAACUGGAUGGGCAGGUCCUAGCUGGAUUUUGCUGAGCUUUCUGCUUUCAGGUCUCCCUUCCUAGAAGGUAUAGGUCCAAACUAAAGUAGGUGCAUUAGCUUGGAGUUAGGAAGACCUCAGGUGCUUGAAUUAAUGUGGCGAA